UACGUAGGGUGCAAGCGUUAAUCGGAAUUACUGGGCGUAAAGCGUGCGCAGGCGGUUGUGUAAGACAGAUGUGAAAAUCCCCGGGCUCAACCUGGGAACUGCAUUUGUGACUGCACAGCUGGAGUGCGGCAGAGGGGAUGGAAUUCCGCGUGUAGCAGUGAAAUGCGUAGAUAUGCGGAGGAACACCGAUGGCGAAGGCAAUCCCCUGGGCCUGCACUGACGCUCAUGCACGAAAGCGUGG
rnacentral:rRNA from 1 species